CCUAACUCUCCCACGGAGUACUGUACUUUGUACCCCUUGCUUCCAUUCUCUCAAGGUAACAAUACCAGUUACAAUCCAACACAUGUUCCCUCUUCUCACGUUUUUACACCAGCGCAUUUAGGUCCCCCGUGCAUUAGGAAGGAUAUAAAUGAAGCUAAUGCUACCCAAAACUCACAGUAGUUUGUGAAGUUAAUUAGGGUCAGUCCUCCU